UGGGUCAGAUGGGGCGGGCAUCCUUAAUUCAUCUUUACCACUUCUUAAACCAUGACUUACAACUCUGUUUAAAAUGAAUUUUUGAACAGAGUCCUCCAGUGAAAUGCUACAGAGGAAAGCCAUUAUUCGAAUGCAUGAGGCCAUUCCAGACCACUUGCCUGGAAGAAUUCCAUAAUAUGGAAUGGGAGAAGGGACAGAGGAGUUUGGCUACUUUCUUCCGCCUUUAAGUUCACUGCCGAGUCUAAACUAAUCUAAACUGACUUAUAAUGUCACUAGCAUUGUACUUCAACACACCACCACCCCCAAGGAUCUGUUCUCGCCUUUGAACUCCAAUUACCUUUUGUUUUCACUGUCAGAACUCGUUCCCCCAGGAGUCAUCAUGGCUCACCUGUGGCAACUGGAAAGCGCUUCUCAACCUGGGUUCCAGAGGAGAGCUAUGACCGGACACCCGGCCUAAGGCCUCUGUUGUAACGCAUUAACUCAUAUUCCCUGUGCUUCUCGAAUGACAGGCGCUUGGACUUACCUCGGGUCAAUGGAAGAGCUAGUCACUCAAAGAAGGCUCUGGUGAGAACCCCCAAGAAAGGCAGAUCCAAUGGCAGAAGCUGUUUCCAGCAAUUCUUCGAUCACGCUCUUGAGCCUGCCCACGUCAAAGGAUCGGGGAUGCACACAAGUGAUCACACUCCUGCAAGCAAGGGCAUCCUCAGAGGGGAAACAUUUGCUUUGCUUUAAAACGGUGGGGAGAAAGGCGCCGGUGAGGAAAGCUGCUUGGCAACCAAGGAGCCCCCAGAAGCGUGCACCUAGCUCUGCCGAUGGCCUCUUAUCAUCCUCCCACACGUGUGAGACUCUGCAGAUGCUUAUCGGUUUAACAAGGUGCUUCUGUCACCUGCCCUGGCUCCUGAGCUAGACUGUAAAGGCCUUGAGGGCGCGGACCGCGUGUCCACUGUCAACCUUUAAUCUCCUCCAGCGUUUGGCACGUUGCACCUCCUGCAGAUGCCUACACAGCAAAUUGUUCAUUAACUGGAGUCCUGGGGGGAGGGGGGCGGUCCUUGUCCUGAUUAAAGUAUAAGCUUUA